rnacentral:rRNA from 1 species
GAUGAACGCUGGCGGCGUGCCUAAUACAUGCAAGUCGAGCGAACGGACGAGAAGCUUGCUUCUCUGAUGUUAGCGGCUGACGGGUGAGUAACACGUGGAUAACCUACCUAUAAGACUGGGAUAACUUCGUGAAACCGGAGCUAAUACCGGCUGAUAUUUUGAACCGCAUGGUUCAAAAGUUCAAGACGGUCUUGCUGUCACUUAUAGAUGGAUCCGCGCUGCAUUAGCUAGUUGGUAAGGUAACGGCUUACCAAGGCAACGAUGCAUAGCCGACCUGAGAGGGUGAUCGGCCACACUGGAACUGAGACACGGUCCAGACUCCUACGGGAGGCAGCAGUAGGGAAUAUUCCGCAAUGGGCGAAAGCCUGACGGAGCAACGCCGCGUGAGUGAUGAAGGUCUUCGGAUCGUAAAACUCUGUUAUUAGGGAAGAACAUAUGUGUAAGUAAAUGUGCACAUCUUGACGGUACCUAAUCAGAAAGCAACGGCUAACUACGUG